rnacentral:rRNA from 1 species
UACGUAGGGUGCAAGCGUUAAUCGGAAUUACUGGGCGUAAAGCGUGCGCAGGCGGCCAUGUAAGUCCGCUGUGAAAGUCAAAGGCUCAACCUUUGAAAGCCGGUGGAUACUGCAUGGCUAGAGUACGGAAGAGGCGAGUGGAAUUCCUGGUGUAGCGGUGGAAUGCGCAGAUAUCAGGAGGAACACCAAUAGCGAAGGCAGCUCGCUGGGACGUUACUGACACUGAGGCGCGAAAGCGUGGGGAGCGAACAGG